rnacentral:tRNA from 1 species
AGCCCCGUCGUCUAGAGGUUAAGGACAGCGGGCUCUGGACCCGUCAACGCCAGUUCGAAUCUGGCCGGGGCUA